UAUUCAACUUUGACCUGGUGGAGGUAACAGAGAGAGAUGCAGAGCUUCACUGGAGUGACCUCACAUUCGUAAACUCCUCCCACCCUGCCCCCCAGCUCUAUGUCCAAUACCAAGUAGAGGAGGAAAAGGAGGAAAAACAUGGGGAAGAGAAGGAGAGGUGGACUGCAGGCCGUGUCCCAGUGUCUCUAUUCUCCAGAGGGCUGAAAGUGCCAGGCCUGUCCCCAGGCAAGGUCUACUCUCUGUCCCUCAGAGCCUCCCACCUUACUGGGGCCGCAUGGAGCCUGGGGAGCGCGCAGACUUGUCACACACGGCCCCUUCCCCCUCGAAACGUCACCAUUAGCAACAUGACAGCCAGUCAGAUCACAGUAAGCUGGACAGCCCCAGACUCCCAGCAUGCUGUGUGGUGGAGCUUUCUGGUUCGCUGGGAGGGUGUAGCCUCAGGCCAGGAGACGAGAAUGGUUGUGGCUAGCAGCUCCAGGUCCGCUGUGAUUGCAGGACUGGAGGGGUUCAGGAAGUACAAGGUCAGAGUUGACUCAGUCACAGAACACGGUGUGGAGAGCUGUGGAGGGGAGGAACUGACCCUAUACACUGCGGUGAGCCCCCCAGGUGGUGUGGUUGUGUCUAGCAGAGGGGAGAAACUGACAGCGUGCUGGUCCGCCCCGUCAGGUGAAAGCCCUGAUGGGUACUAUGUUAGGCUACGCCCCGUCAGCCAGGCCCGCCCCAUGGAACUGUGGGUAAAUGAGUCCAGGUGUGUGUUCCUGGCCAUAUUCAGUCCAGGGCAGAACUACGAGGUGGGUGUGGCUUCAGUGAGAGGAGAGAACAAGAGCCAAGAGAUCAGCACCACAUACAGAACAGAGCCUGGGCCCGUGCAGGCAGCUGUCCCUCUCUCGGUCGGAAGCAGUUCUGUGGUUCUGUAUGUCCAGAGACCAGUACUGGGUGUGUGUGAUGGAGUGAGGGUGUGUGUGUGUAAGGGAGUGUGUGAGGGUGUGUGUGUGUGUAAGGGUGUAUGCGAUUGGUGGCCAUUCCCCCAGGUAAGCACACAGUAACAGUUGGCAGCCUGACUCCAGGGACGGAGUACCAUCUCAGUGUUUACAGCACCAGCCGACACAGGACCGGACCAGCAUACCAAACACACACACUCAGGACACGUGAGUACACACAAACACACUCAUAUUUCCAUCUCCUCAGAUGAUUUUGACGGUGAUGAAGUGUGUGUAUGUACAGUUGAAGUCGGAAGUUUACAUACACCUC
rnacentral:lncRNA from 1 species